CUUUCACAGACACUGACACAGGGAGCAGUAUGGCGAUGUCAAACUAUCUACUGCUGGUGAUGCUGGGACUCCUUAUACAGGAAUCAAUGGCAGAUAUAAUUCUGACUCAGUCUCCAUCAGCUCAGUCUGUUCAGCUGGGAGACACUGUUUCUAUCAGCUGUACAACCAGUCAGAGUGUGGGCAGCUGGCUCAGCUGGUACCUGCAGAAACCUGGUCAGGCUCCUAAACUUCUGAUUUAUGCUGCCACAAAUCGCCAGUCUGGGAUUCCUGAUCGUUUCAGUGGGAGUGGAUCUGGGACUCAGUUUACACUGAAAAUCGCUGGAGUCCAGGCUGAAGAUGCAGGAGAUUAUUACUGUCAGCAGUACAACAGCUACCCGCUCACACAGUGA